rnacentral:snRNA from 1 species
AUACUUACCUAGCAGGGGAGAUUCUAUGAUCACAAAGGUGUUUUUCCCAGGGCAAGUCUUAUCCAUUGCACUGCAGAUGUGCUGACCCCUGACGUUUCCUCAAAUGUGGGAAAAUGGACUGCAUAAUUUGUGGUAGGGGAGACUGAGUUUAUGCUCCCC